GCUGAAAUAGUUUAAUUGGUUAAAACUUACUUUUCAUGAGAGUAGAUCAAAAGUUCGAUUCUUUUUUUCAGCU
rnacentral:tRNA from 1 species